rnacentral:rRNA from 1 species
AGUCUACCUGCCCACUGAAUUUAUUUAAAUGGCCGCAGUAUCCUAACUGUGCAAAGGUAGCAUAAUCAUUAGUCUUUUAAUUGAAGGCUGGUAUGAAUGGUUGGACGAGAUAUUAACUGUUUCAUAAAAAUUUAUAAUAGAAUUUUAUUUUUUAGUCAAAAAGCUAAAAUAUAAUUAAAAGACGAGAAGACCCUAUAAAUCUUUAUAUAUAAAUUAUUAGAAUUUUGUAGAUUUUUUUUAUUAUAAUAGUUGAUUAUAUUUUAUUGGGGUGAUAUUAAAAUUUAAUAAACUUUUAAUUGUUUAAAUCAUUAAUUUAUGAAUAAUUGAUCCGUUAAUAACGAUUAAAAAAAUAAGUUACUUUAGGGAUAACAGCGUAAUUUUUUUGGAGAGUUCAUAUCGAUAAAAAAGAUUGCGACCUCGAUGUUGGAUUAAGAUAUAAUUUUAGGUGUAGCCGCUUAAAUUUUAAGUCUGUUCGACUUUUAAAUUCUUACA